rnacentral:rRNA from 1 species
UUUGGGUUGUGGAUAGGAGUGAAAGGCUAAUCAAGCUUGGAGAUAGCUGGUUCUCCGCGAAAGCUAUUUAGGUAGCGCCUCGUGUAUGACUCUUGGGGGUAGAGCACUGUUUCGGCUAGGGGAUCCUUAGGAUCUACCAAACCGUGGCAAACUCCGAAUACCAAGAAGUUCUAGCACGGGAGACACACGGCGGGUGAUAAGGUCCGCCGUGAAGAGGGAAACAGCCCAGAUCGCCAGCUAAGGUCCCUAAAUCAUAGUUAAGUGGGAAACGAUGUGGGAAGGCAUAGACAGCCAGGAGGUUGGCUUAGAAGCAGCCAUCCUUUAAAGAAAGCGUAAUAGCUCACUGGUCGAGUCGUCCUGCGCGGAAGAUGUAACGGGGCUAAAACUAUGUACCGAAGCUGCAAACUCUAGAUUUAUCUAGAGUGGUAGCGGAGCGUUCUGUAAGUCUGUGAAGGUAAAUCGGUGAGAUUUGCUAGAUAUCAGAAGUGCGAAUGCUGACAUGAGUAACGUUAAAGCGGGUGAAAAACCCGCUCGCCGAAAAUCCAAGGUUUCCUGCGCAACGUUAAUCGGCGCAGGGUGAGUCGGUCCCUAAGGCGAGGCCGAAAGGCGUAGUCGAUGGAAAACAGGUUAAUAUUCCUGUACUUUGUUAUAUUGCGAUGGAGAGACGGAGAAGGCUAGAUCAUCCACCGAUUGGUUGUGGUGGUUUAAGCAAGUAGGGGGAGUUCUUAGGUAAAUCCGGGAGCUCAUUACCCUGAGAUGCGAAUACGAAAUUGUCACUUGUGGCAAUUAAGUGAUCGAUGCCAUGCUUCCAAGAAAAUCUUCUAAGCUUCAGAUAUAACGGAACCGUACCCCAAACCGACACUGGUGGAUGGGUAGAGAAUACUUAGGCGCUUGAGAGAACUUGGGUGAAGGAACUAGGCAAAAUAGCACCGUAACUUCGGGAGAAGGUGCGCCCUCGGUAGGUGAAGGCCCUUGCGGCUGGAGCUGAAGAGGGUUGCAGUGACUAGGUGGCUGCGACUGUUUAUCAAAAACACAGCACUCUGCGAACACGUAAGUGGAAGUAUAGGGUGUGACGCCUGCCCGGUGCUGGAAGGUUAAUUGAUGGUGUUAGCUCUCGGGCGAAGCACUUGAUCGAAGCCCAGUAAACGGCGGCCGUAACUAUAACGGUCCUAAGGUAGCGAAAUUCCUUGUCGGGUAAGUUCCGACCUGCACGAAUGGCGUAACGAUGGCCACGCUGUAC